UCAACAAGAGAAGCGACGCAGUAAUAUGCGUUCUCUGGAGCUCCAUGGGUAAGGCUUUCUUGGAAAUUUGGUGAUUAAUGUUACUAAAAUUGAGUAAAUCCUGUGUUUAUGUUAAGUCUUUGUUGCAACGUUAGCAAUAUAAUAUCACCGCUAAGGCAACAGACAAGUCGCACGCGUUUGGUCAGAAUCCAAUUGGCUCAUAUUUAGGACAUAAUUGUUGUUCAGGUGCGGUCAUUUAAGAAAUCCUAAAGUUGGUGCAGCAUAACAUUUAAUUUGCGUGUGUGGACUAUGGAGUUAUCUAUAGUGGUUUUUACGUUACUAAGGUCAGAAACAUUAUUGGAUGACUGUUUGAUAAUCAGCAGAUGUAUUAAUCACAGAAAGCUGCAGUGACUGCAUUAUAUUAUGUUGCUAAACAGUUGUUCUAGCGUUUUUAAACCAGUAGUUUUAUUAAUUUCGCGCGGAAUGCAGUUCGUGAAAUAAGCUCUAAAUGAAAAAAUAACCGAUUUAAGUAAAUAAUUGUGUUCAUUGUAAAUCUGCUCAUCUAAACAUACAAGGCGGAACCAAUCGAUCACAGAGAGCGAUCGCUGCUGACACCGUCAGCAGCACUUACAUUCAGAUUACAAUAUGAUUUCACAUUAUUACAUUCAGAUUACAAUAAUAUUUCACAUUAUAAGUGUUUUUAUAUCAAAUAAGUGCAGCCUUGGUGAGCAGAAUAGAUUUAUUUAAUUAUUUAAUAUUAUUUAUAUAAUAAGGCUAGUUUGUGCAGUUACAUUAUGUCAAUUGAUCGUUAGAAGGGAUUAAAAUUGAUUGUGUUAUGUUCUGUAAUUGUUGUUAAUAAAUCUUUCAGAAGAAAGUGUGUAAAAGUUUGACUACAGUAACCAUAUCUAACCAAGCUUCAUGUACCAAGAUAAUUAUUUCAUUUAUUUCUCAUCAGAUCAACUGUUCAUUUAUGCAGUUUAUGCUUUAUUUAUAGGUAGCAUAACUGUUACCUUUUUGUUUACAGUUCUGCAUAUAUAAUAUGACAAACCUAGGAGACUUUGCUGUAAGAGAAUUAAUCAUGUUUUUGUUUUCUUUUCUCAGGUCCGGUCAGUACCCACCACCCUUCCCUGUUCACCCACAGUUUAUACUUUUUCUUAGAAAACCAACGGCUCUUUUAAGAGCCACUUCAAUAGACCCUUUUACAGCCCACGUGAUCAAAUAGCCUGCGUGCGCAUUUUGGCAACGGAAGUGAUGUUAUUUCCCAGUGGUUCUAACGUGUAAGCAACUCAGAAAGUUUAUUAAAACGAUUUCCCCACAUCAAAACGUCUGGUUGUAGCAUUUGGUUGCACUAAUAUAAUAUAUGUUUAGUAUUUGGCCAUCUUCUAACGUCUUCUAUCCACUCCACUAUAGUACACGGAUCUGGUAACUGUGUAGAAAAUAAGUCAACUUUUUAAACUAACUUUCUCUGUCUGUGUUGCUUCACUGCUGAUUCUUGCUGUGCUUCCGUUGCCAAACUGCGUGCGCAUACGUUGCCACGUCAUCAUUGUGUACAAACAGUAAAAGGGUCACUCACUCACUCUUUCGCAAGCUUCUCUGUUUUCAAGUAUUGUAAUUUUAUUCAUUUUACUCUCUCUCUCACUGUCCAAAACACUUAGCCUAUGCCUCUUUGUCUGACCAAUGUAGUAUUGUUGAAAUGGCUGCUGAGCAAGACAGAGGGAGAGCAGAGGGUGUUAUUUUCAUAGCAGACAUGCUUCUUGCUCAAAUCAAGUAUUACCAUACAAGGCACACUUUCUUUUAUGCAAGGCAGAGGAACCCAAGGGCAAAGCAACAGCCAUUAAAGGGAGUACAUUUAAUGUCAGAUAGGUGGAGAAAAUGCUGAAGGACGUCCACUACUAAAAAGCAGCAGAAGUGAAGAGAUACAAAGCUUCAGCUACAGUCUGUUUAUUGCCUACAGUGAGACCUCCACAUUUCUGCACUUGUGAUCAUGCAAACAUCCAGUGUAGAGCACUUCACCUGCCCGGCAUGUACACCCAACAAUGCUCGCUCUUUGUGCAGAUGGCAACAGAAAAACCUACAGAUUCCGUCAGUCAAAAGAAAGGAGCUUCAAGCAGCCACAAACGGAGAGUUCUUUUGAACAGAUAUUGCUUGCAAGUAUUGGCCAUACCUUGAGAAGGCAUCAGUCUCCAUGUUGGAACUCAGACCUUUACUGCAGAUGAGACCUUUCCUUUCUGUCAUGCAUGCCAAGGCUCAUUCAACCAAGUGUCAGGUAAUGCAUAUUCUUUAUCGUACCAUUUGAAACUGUAUUUGUAUUACUUAUUAAUACACUGUAACUGUUUAUGGUUGUAAUAUAGGUGUCACACAUUUGUUAGAUAAUCUGGCAAAAAUCAGGAAGGUGCUGGUACAACUGCAGUUGAGGAGGUCAAAAUGGUCAACAGCUACCUGUCUCGUUGUGGCCUCACAACCAAGUAUCUAAUUGAUGCCUAUUUAUAAUAUUUUAGGAAACCUGUCUUUAUUUUUUCACUUUUUUAUUCUUUCUGUCUAGUACUUUGAGAUUGCAUAAGAGUAAGCUGUAACUGUUCAAAGUACAUAAAAAUUGGCAUGUAGUUCUCUCUUAAAUUUUAAACUCAAUUGUCAGUUUCUGGAUUAAUUGAAAUACGACAAGCAUUAAUGGGACCUUUCUUCCUUCAUCACAUACAUGUCUUGUUAAUAGCCAGGAAUGACAUGCUAACUGUCCAUGCUAUUGGGUGGAACCAACGGAAGCAAGAAGGCCUUCAGCAUUAUCCAGCAGAUACAUCAAGAGACGGGAAGAUUUGAGCAGUGAACUGGGGUGUCCUGAGAACAUUGUGAAUCAGUGGGUACAAGAUGUCAGACAAAAGGCUACUGAUGGAUUUGGUAGGUACCAGAUGUGAUGACCUACACAACCUUCAGAAAUGAAUUGAACAAAUGUUUCUUAGUCUUCAUCGAAAAGCCAGCCUUUAUAAUCACACUGAAUCUAGCAACACCCUCACCAAGAAGAUUUCAAAAGUGCGCCUUCAAGAAGCAAAGCUCAUUGUGAUGAGGGAGAUGAGACACCACUGCACCGCACCUAUCUCAGAAGCCUGGCUAGGAACAUCAGGAAAAUGAUAUCAGAAAUGUCUUCAGGCAAAAACAGUGGCAGUUUAAGUGAAGAGUGUCAUCGCUGGCUACUGUGUCGUCUUCAGAAAAGGCUUGCAGAUGUAGAGAAGAAGUUCUAAGUUUGCUCAAGUUACAGCCAGGCUUUAGGACAGUGUUCUUCACUCCCAACCCCGGAGAGCCGGUGUCCUGCAGACUUUAGCUCCAACCUUAAUCAAACACACCUGAAAGCUAAUCAAUGUCUUCAUGAUCUCUAGAAAAUCACAGGUAUGCGUGUUUGAUUAAGGUUGGAGCUAAGCUCUGCAGGACACCGGCUCUCCAGGAUUGGGAGUGAAGAACACUGCUUUAGGACCAAAUGCUGUUUCUCUGCUGGAGGAUGAGCCUGAGGAGAUACUGGAGGACCACAAAGAGCUGGAUUAUGAGAGUUCAGAUGACAUUUUGGAUUUGGAACUCUGAACUGGUGUAUGCAUUUAGACUGUGUGUCACACUGAACUGCAGGUGUGUUUCAUGGAAAACAUAAAACUAUUUGGAAAUGUAAUGGAUGUCUGAUACAGUGCUUUUAUUUUAGACAACCGUUUCCUGCAGUCUGUAAGCAACAUUAGCCUCAUAGAUUGAUGGGAAACUACUGUUAAAUAAGUUUUUGUAUGAUAAUCCAUAUCUCCGUUUACAAGCAGCAGGUUAGCUAUUAGGUUUCCCCUCCACCUCCGAUGUUUCACAGACUACUCCUACAGUCAACUGUGUUGCUACAACUUACAAAUGCCACAAUCCUCUUGCAGUGGUUACUUCACCAAACUGUGCCCAUAUCAUCUUGUCAACAUAAUGACAUUUACUGUAGAAAAAUGUGCAAAUCUAUUUUGCCUGUGUUACAUAUGUUACUAUUAUUGUUAUAUAGUUUUAUACUGUAUCAAGUUUUUUUCACAGUGAUUGUGGAUACUUUUGGAGUGAACUAACUGUAUGUCAUUAGAUUAAAUACUUUCCAUAAAUGACUGAUCAAUAACCUACCCAUAUUUGAUGCAUGAGUUAAUACUGUUGUUACCUUUUCAAUGAAAGGAAAUGUUUUACAAUGCCAUUUUCUUGAGGUAACUAUUAAACUGUUUCAUAUAUGUACCUGCAAAAUUGUUUACUUUUCCCUGUUUUGAAAAUGAGA